GGGGUGGACUACAGCAGUGGAGCACUAACUCAUUUUUCUCCGGACUCCCCCUCCUACAAGCCUUGUUGAACUGAACGGGAUUCAAACCACCUCUUUACUCUGCUGGAAUCAGGUCAUCCAGCACAAAGAAACUGAAGUCAGCUGACUUCUAUCACAUCUGGCUCACAAAGGGGGACAAACACUCAUUUUCCGCCCAGAUAGCCAGAGCAGUGGGAACUUCCUGUUGGCAUCACACUCACAGAGCAGCUAACGCCUCGCUGCAGCGGGCGACACGGAGAUAACGGCAGACCUCUCGGCUCAAAUAUGAGACAAAUCAGACCGAACAGAAAGCAGGAGGCGACCUCCGGCUCUUCAGUGAGGUCAGAGGUCACCCGUUAGAGCUGCGUUCUAACCUGACCACCAGGGGGCGACGUCUCUGGUCCCAUAAAGCUCUACGGGAAAAAGAACCAAGGCAACGAACAUAAUUCAUUUUUUUUAAUCCCUUCUGUUUUUGUUUGUAUGAAUAAUAAACCUGGAAAUCCCCUGUGAGCCAAUGUGUUGCAUCUCAGAGAUUUUAUUACUAACACAAACUAGGGGAGAAAUAUUUGUAGAACAAAAGUUUGAAUCCUUAAUAACAAAGAUGAGUAGAAACAGAAGAGGGCCGAGGUAAGUGCAACCUGAAAACCACAUUAUCAGGUGUUAGAAUCAACUGGGAACAAAGCAAAAGUAUUAAAAAGGACACAGGACAACGCCAUGGCAACGACCUGUCAAUCAGCGUGUAGCCCGCCUUAAAGCAUUAUGGUAUGUUUGACUCUACACGGACCGGGGUGGAGGAAAUAUUGCUUGUUAAACUACGGACAUGGUCGAAUCACAGAGGACCCAUGUGACCACAUUCCACUCAUCCCCGACAUUCUGCAGAGAAUCCGCACGCCACAUCAGCAGAUGUGAUUUACACUAACGAGCAUCACGGGACGGCGCGCCAUGUGCAGCGAGGGGUCGGGUUAGAGUAGAGGUCACGUGGGGGGCCGUGUGUGUGUGUGUGUAAGUACUUUGUAGGUGUAGUAAGGACAAGGCCGGUCCAGGACUUGCCUUCAGCAGCCUUCGUAGACCCGGGCUGGUCCUCCAACAACCGCAUAGGCCGACCGUCGCCAUGGAUACCGAAGCAGCCCAGCAGGCCGAACGAAUUCCCCGACAGGGAAGACUUGGAAUUCUUUUCUGUUUUCUUCUUCUUUGCAACGCUCCCUUUUUCUAAUAAAUACAAACU